GUUCAUCUCUAUACUUUUACUAGCGGAUAUUAGCUUAGUCCUGCUAACUUUGCUCCAGAUGUAUUCUAUUUCACUGCUUAAUUUCCUGUUAGUUUUAUUUAUCCUUCCUCUGGGUAUACUGUUUCCAUUUCCAGCUGGAAUCAAUGCCUUGUUUAGUCAAUGGACCUUGGCGAUCAGCUGCUCUGGCACGUGUAUAUGCUUUGUGGAACAUAACAUCCUUAAUCAAUGUUGUAAGUUGUUCUCAAGACAUUUCUUGAAUACCCAAUGUACCUUGCUUAACUUGAAAUUGACGAAAAUGCAGACACAAAAGCUGGACUAAAUGCAAAUCAGUUUUAUUUGUAAUAAUUUCAAUGUGAAAAUAUGCAUUCUUUUUGGCAAUUUAUCACAAAACUGAUAAGCAGUUCUGGAAGCUGCCGCCUUCCCUUGUUCAUCUUCUUGAAAUUCAACGACAUAUCUCGUAUCAAAAUAUCUAGAUUCUUUAGAAAGGUUACUUUUAUGAAAUUCUGAGUGAUUAGUGGCAUUUGCCCAAUUUUUAGUAUCUAGCAGCACAAGCCCUUUCUACUUUUAUGUUUAUUUAUGCAGCUUUAUUUACUUUUAACCAGUAUGUCCUUUUGGUUUUUGCCCUUUUCAUGUCUUUUUUUAUAGAAAGGUGUACAGCCACCUGUAGGUUCAUUUUCUGAAAUUCUUGAUUAUAUUUCUCAUUUGUAACAGGUAAGUGACUUUGUAUGUGGAUUU
rnacentral:misc_RNA from 1 species